rnacentral:rRNA from 1 species
CACGUAGUUAGCCGGGGCUUCUUAGUCAGGUACCGUCAUUUUCUUCCCUGCUGAUAGAGCUUUACAUACCGAAGUACUUCUUCACUCACGCGGCGUCGCUGCAUCAGGGUUCCCCCAUUGUGCAAUAUUCCCCACUGCUGCCUCCCGUAGGAGUUUGGGCCGUGUCUCAGUCCCAAUGUGGCCGGUCACCCUCUCAGGCCGGCUACUGAUCGUCGCCUUGGUGGCCUCUACCCGCAACUAGCUAAUCAGACGCGGGUCCAUCGUAUACCGUUUACGCUUUCACACUGCUCCAUGCGAAGCUGUGCGCUUAUGCGGUAUUAGCACCUAUUUCUAAGUGUUACUCCCCGUGUAUACGGCAGGUUACCCACGCGUUACUCACCGUCCGCCACUAACAACUCACUAGGUUUCAUUCUCGUUCCGUUCGACUUGCAUGUGUUAGGCACGCCGCCAGCGUCAUCCUGACGCCGACGGAUCCAACUCU